AAACAGGAGACUCCACCCAAACUACUUAAUGGUGGAGACAUCACCUCAAAAGGUGUGAAGCUGCCCCAAUGAGUUGAUGGUAUGGAGACUCCAACUGCCAAGGUGUGGAACUGAAUCAAGGAUGUGGCUGGAGUGGAGACAUCAUCUUUAAAGGUGUGGAACUGAACCAACGCUGUGAAAGGUAGGCUGCCUUUGCAUAACAUCCCUGCCGUCUCAGAACUGGACAUGUCGACUGGGGUGUUCCUCGUCUGAUGCCCCUUGCAGAAAAUCAGCCCCAACCUACCCUUCAGGUGCACAGUCACCAGAUCACAAUUUAGAAGAGCCUUUCCUAUCUAUUGUCUUGUUUUGGUCAGUGGUGAUAUUUAGUUCUGAACUUAAAGUGGUGUUUAUGGGCCCUCACUUUGAGUGGGAUAUUUAAAGAUGUGUACAUUUUAUGCUGUGACACUUCACCUAUUUAAGAUGUAAAGAAGUGUAACUAUAUGCCUUCAGUGUGUUCACACCCCAGGACUCUAUUCCAUAUUUUGUUACAGCUUGCAUUAAAUUGCGGUUGUUACCGGCCUACACACAG